AUCUCUCGGCGUUAAACUUCGUGUUCACCGCCGGAGAGUACAACGGGAGCGGCUUCUCCAUCUUAGGCAGGGCGGUGUUGACGGAGACGAUGGAGCGGGGCAUCGUCGGGGGCACCGGCAUGUUCCGAAUGGCGCGGGGCUACACCCUGAGCAAGCUCAUCAGGUCAACUGGAACUACCGAACUCGAGCUUGUGAUGGAGUACGAUGCUUACAUCUAUCACUACUGAUGAGCUGCCUCGGCGGUCCGUUCUUGUGUGAUUUAGUACUUUUGUGCGUCGUAAUAAGACAUUCUUACCGUCUCUGUCAAGACAUCCUCGUGGUUGUUCCACGUUUGAUAAGUUUAAGGUUCGUGU
rnacentral:lncRNA from 1 species